UACUAGAGUAGCACUCGCAUAUCAAUAAGCGGAGGAAAAGAAACUAACAAGGAUUCCCCUAGUAACGGCGAGUGAAGCGGGAAGAGCUCAAAUUUGAAAUCUUAAAGGGUUUCCCUUUACGAAUUGUAGUUUAAAGAAGUGUUUUCUGUUGAGGUUUUGGUAAAAGUUCUUUGGAAUAGGACAUCAUAGAGGGUGAGAAUCCCGUAUUUGACCUUUACUUUCAACUUUGUGAUACACUUUCAAAGAGUCGGAUUGUUUGGGAAUGCAGUCCAAAAUGGGUGGUAAAUUUCAUCUAAAGCUAAAUAUUGGCGAGAGACCGAUAGCGAACAAGUACCGUGAGGGAAAGAUGAAAAGAACUUUGAAAAGAGAGUUAAACAGUACGUGAAAUUGUCAAAAGGGAAGCGUUUGACACCAGUGUUGUCUUUCUGAAAAUCAAUUAAAGAACUGUUUAUGCUAAGUUGUUUAGACUUUAUCAGCUAUCUGUUUAGUUUUGAGCUUUUCUUUAAUGCACUUUUCAGUUAACAAGUCAACAUCAAUUUCCUUUUGCUGUAAAAAAGCUUGAGGAAGGUGGCUUGAGAUUCGUCUUAAGUGUUUAUAGCCUCUUGCCUAUGCAGUCGGAGAGAUUGAGGUCUGCAGCGUAGAUCCUUCGGGGCUAAAUGCAUUUGUGCUAAGUUAUAGCAUUUUAUAGACAGCUUGUUGACUAUGAUUUGUCUUGUAGCUUACUCGCUUAUGUUAUUUUACCUACGCUUAGGAUGUUGAGCGCAUGUCUCUCUCU
rnacentral:rRNA from 1 species